UAGUCAGCCAGUGGAAAGAUUUAGACAGAGAGAUAUGACCAGACUUGUGUUUUAGAAGAAUGGCUUUGGCAGCUGUAUGAGCAAAGGGCUUUCAGGAAGGAAGAACAAAUGCAGGGAGACAAGAUGAAGAAACCAAGGCACAGACUCAUGUCCAGGACCCUAAAACCAGUGCAUGGUGGAGCCAGCAUUCAAACCCAGCACACGGGACGCCAGAGUCCAUGCUCCUAACCACUACAUUGUGAUGCCUUGAAACUCAUGGCAGAGAAGAGUUUGAGAGAAAGGUUUCAGAAAGACAAAAGUAGAAAUCCUGAAAGACUCUGAGCAUAAAGUUAAUGCUGCAGCAAUAGAUUUAGAAAAAUGAUGCAUGAUGAUCUAAGUGGAAGGUGUGACAUACCCCCAAAGAAAUGCUGAAUUCCCCAGUCACAGGCAGAGAAAGUAAAGGUGGGGCCUGCUGAGCACGUCAGAGCAGAAUGGGCAUGGCAUAGCUCCGUCAAGUCUCCCAGAGCUCCAGAGCAGCACAAAAAGGCAUCCAAAUAUUUCCUGUGCUUCCCUGUCCUCUCACCUCAAGAGGGAUGCAAAAGACAAGGCUGGAGUGACCUCAAGCAGUCUAGCAGUCUUGAAAGUUGUAUGAACUGGAAACACAAGUCCAGAGGAGAACAAGGCCAUCUUGAGGAUACCAGCAAGGAUAGAUCACUAUGCCCGGAAGCCAAUAGGAGCCAUCACAAAUAAACAAGAAUUUCUGAGGACAAAGGUCCCCCUCUUGAUAGACAUCAAAGUAUGAUGACUUAAGGCCCCAGAACUUAGAGGCAACUCAGGGAGAAAAUGGUGGGGGAAAAAAAACUCCGGAACAGACUUAAUAAAUAAUUGACCAAAGGUAGCCUGAGUUGAAUAUGAUUGAAAUUAAGUUCAGUUACAGAAUAAUGUUAUAUUUGUUUUUUGCACAGAGGAUUUUGCAGCCUGAGACUUUUACCUGCUUGGCUAUAAAGAAAUAAAACUUGUUUACCUUUGCAAACAG
rnacentral:lncRNA from 10 species